GGAGUUGUGGCUCAGUGGUAGAGCGCUUGCCUGAUAAGUGUGAGGCACUGGGUUUAAUCCUCAGCACCA
rnacentral:tRNA from 1 species